UGUGGGAGCGAGCCUGCUCGCGAUAGCGGUAUGUCAGCCGACUGAGUGGUUGACUGAUUUACCGCUAUCGCGAGCAGGCUCGCUCCCACA
rnacentral:misc_RNA from 1 species